AAUUAAUGAGACUCUUUCAUCCCUCUCGCUAACGACGAUCGAAAAAUCCCUUACUUCAUCCCACACCAUAGCAGUCUUUCUCUCUUACAAACGCUCUUCGAUGACGUUUCCCUCUUUCUUGCAAAUGCUCAUUACAAGUUUCCCCUCUCUCAAAAGCUCUCCGGCCGUCAUUUGAAGGAGCUCACCAAACGCCACAGAUAUUUCUCACGUCGUCGUUGUCAACCUCCAGCCGUCACCGUCUCUUUGCAGGGCACGUCAUCUCCGUUCGCCGUCUCUUCCUCUUCACCAAAUAUCUUCGUUCGUUGUCUAGAGUUUAUUUGCAAGCCGUCCGGUGCGCCAACUAGAUUUCAGUCUUCAAGAAGAAAAAGAGCUCACCAAAUUUCGAUCUUAAGAGGAAGAUUUGUAAGCUGUCCGAUGCUUCUCCUCCUUUGUUCGUCCGACUGGUAUAUAUACCUACGAGUAACAGGAAUGGGUGAUGGAUUAAACAUCAAGGAGAGAAUUUGUUUUGUUUUCUGUAUUUGGCAUGAUGGAUAAGUGUGUGACACCUAUUGGUAGACGACUCUUGAGGAAGAGUUAAUAUCAUUAUUGGCCCAAAUUAUUCUGGUAAAAGUAUCUAUGUAAAACAGGGAGCAAGCAUAUGACUACAGAACAAUCAACUUUUAUGCUUGACUUACUUUUAAGUGUGGAUGGUUCUGAGGUACAUUAUUUGAUAAAUAAAUUCUAGCUACAUGACCAGAAAAGCAACAGAGGUUGCAAUAUAUUUGUAGAAUAAAUCUUGAUUGCUGCAUAUCUAGUGUCAAGUGUGGAAACUUACAUUCGAGGGCCUGAGCAAUGGCAUGACCUUAACAGUUUAACUUAAUUUUAUAAAUUUGGUAUCAGUUAGUUUUAGUUCCUGAAUUUUUUUUGGAAUUAACAAUUUAGUCUUGAACUUUAGCUUGUAACUUUUAAUUUUGUAACAAUUAAGUUUCUAAAUGUUAGUUUGUAAUAAUUUAGUCUGUUUAAUUACUUCAGAAUUUGGACUUAUCAUAAAAUAUUAUUUAGAUUUAAUGAGUUUUUACUUAUAAUAAACCAAUUGGAAACAAAUGUGUACGACAAAAUUGUUACAAAAUUUAAAGUACAUUGAAUGGUUACAUACUAAAGUUUAGAAACUAAAUUGUUAUAUAUCUUAAAGUUUAGGGACUUCUACUUGUUUUAAUUUUUCUUUUUCAUUUAGUGACGUUUUUUGUUCACUUAACUUGAAACUUAAGUGUGUUUCCAUCUGUGAGCCAUUUGUUUUAUUAAAAAAAAAAGAAACUUUUCAUUGAUAAUAUGAGAAGUACAUAUAUAGAAUAGUUAGCCUAGAUGAUGUUAGUGUGCUCUAGAUGAACUAUCAAUAGAACGUAAGUAACUUUAUUUAUAUAUACAUAUAGGAAAGAAACCUGCACCAACUGGUUUUAAUGAAAGCAAGCUAUGAUUAUUGAAGAGUUGAGACUUAACAGAGGGUACACCAAUUGGAAGCUAAGAGAAGCCUAAACUUACUCCCAGUCUUAUUGUUAGUGAGCUUGAGCGCCCUUGGAUGAGAAAGUCAUUGUUUCUUGAAGUUGAGUUUUGUAGUUUUGUAGUUUUAUAGUUUAUUCAACAUGUACACAAACACACAUAAGUUGUCUUCUGGUUGAUGUUGUGCAUUCCUCUGUCUUUUGAGUUUACUGCCUGUCAAAGAUGGGUUGUGUUGGUUAUCUAGAGUUAUUAACAUCCUUUACAUAUUAAGUCUUCAUAUUAACAUAUGCACAAAGGAUUGCUUUUGCUUCC